rnacentral:rRNA from 1 species
GUGCCAGCAGCCGCGGUAAGACGAACCGUGCAAACGUUGUUCGGAAUCACUGGGCUUAAAGGGCGCGUAGGCGGGCCAGCCAGUCUGUGGUGAAAGCCCCCGGCUUAACCGGGGAAGUGCCGUGGAUACUGCUGGCCUCGAGGAGGGUAGGGGCAUCUGGAACGGUCGGUGGAGCGGUGAAAUGCGUUGAUAUCGACCGGAACUCCGGUGGCGAAGGCGAGGUGCUGGGCCCUUUCUGACGCUGAUGCGCGAAAGCCAGGGGAGCAAACGGGAUUAGAUACCCCGGUAGUCCUGGCCCUAAACGUUGAGGACUAGGUAGUGGACUUAACAUGGGUUCACUGUCGGAGCAAAAGUGCUAAGUCCUCCGCCUGGGGAGUAUGGUCGCAAGGCUGAA